UCUCUCUCUCAAAUAAAUAAAUAAAUCUUAAAAAAAAAAAAAAAAAAAAGAUACAGCCAGGACAGUAGAAGGGAUCAGGAGUUGAGGGCUGGGGGCCCCAACCCUCAAGGUUGUCUUGUCCCUCAGAAUCCUGCCCAGAGACCUCCUGCCCCAGUGGACCUUCCGGUACCUCAUAGAAAGUGCCGGUGUAAGCUUUAAGGACAAAGACCUUCAUAAGGCUCCCAGGGAAGGGGAGAUAGGAUUUGGGGGCUGCUGGGCAGGGCGGAGGGAUUAGAUGGCCACAGGGCCCAGAAAGGCUAAAGAAUGUUGGAGAGGAGAGCUGUGAGCCAGAGACUCUGAAAGGAAGAGACAGGUAGGCUGAGGGAAGACUGGGUAAUGGGGAACCAGCCUCAUAGUGUAUGUCUGACCCUGGGGACAGAAGGAGGACAGGACCAAAGGCAGGGGCCAGAGAGGCCGUCCCUGUGGCACCUGGAGGGAAGCCUUGAGCCUUGGGCUGCUGGGCUGGGUUGGAGGAGAAAGGGAGCGAGGGGGAGCAUAUGGGGUCUGAGUCCUUGGGAGCUAGAGCCAAGGCCACCAGGGGCCAAGGGGCACAGCCGGCUGGGAGUGAGACCUGCAAGGCGGUGCCCAGAGAAAGGGAAAGGAUGGCACAGGAGCAGUGGUAGCAUGGGAGGAGAAAAACAAAGGAAAAGAGUGGAGAGGGAGGGGGUAGAGAGAGCAAGGCAAGGAGGAGGAAAGGAGAAGGGAGCGGAGAAACAGCCGCAUGCACAGCCUUGUGGAAGGAAAACGGAGGCAGAGUACAGGGUGGGGCACAGCGUGUGUGGUGGCUUGGCCCCAGGUCUGCAGAAAGUCUACCGACUUUCCCGUCCCUUCCCCAGCAUCACAGAGGUAUGUCCUCCUGCCACACUUGCGCUCAACUGGCCAAGAACCUCCCGAACUGACGUCGCAGUGGAGGUGGGGCGAGAACGGUCCUUUUCAUCUUCCCUAGAGUCCUCCAGUCAACAGAUCUUGGAAGUUUAUUCCUCUCACCACUGGCCUCUGGGCAAAUUGGCCCCUUUCUCUCUCUGAAAGGAGAGGAUGUGUCAGGAUAGAAUUCAGGAGAGAGACUUCCUUAUUCUAGAAAGAUCUCCAGAGAGCAAGAUGCUGCAGUCUCAAGCUAGCAGCUACCAUAUGGUCAAGAAACCAGGUUAGGCCCUCUCUAACCUAAAUCCCAUUUGCUGCAUAACAUGAACAUGCGCAAGAGCAUGUGCGCGCGCACACACACACACACACACACACACACACCCCUGCAGUGACCGGUGGCUAAGGAGGUCACUGCCAGUUUCCCCCUGCCAGGCUCUCUGUGCACAUCUGGGUUUCUCUGUGUCAACAGGAACAUGCUCAGAUUUCCAAGCUCCUCAGUCUGUUGCCAUGGGAACAUUCAGUCAAGUCUCCUAGAACUCGGCACUGGGCCUGGCCCCUGUGGUGCAGGGGAGGAGAGGAGAGGUGGAGGGUGACAAUGAGAUGGAGGGAAAGGCUCCUGGGAGGGGCUGGUGGGACACAUUUGGGUCAAGGUGACAUCUUGCUAUCUCAUUCCUUGGGACCACCUGCCCUCUCUCGUCUGUCUCAGUAGACCUCUAGGCCCGAGCAGUGGGGAAAAGAUGUCAGAACAGAGGCUAGAGCUCGGUGGAGGAUUCUUGAUCACUGCCUGGGUCACCAGGAAGUUAUUGAGGGAUAUUAGCUUUUGAGUGGGAGCUGAGGUCCGUCUAGCCCUGUGUCCCAUGCUCAAACCAUCUUGGGGACACUGGGCAGCCCUCCAGGUCUGAGGUCCCUGGGUAGAAUGUCCUCAGGGCUGGAGCUGCUUUAGCUGGCUCCCCCUCCCUUUCUUGUGUGUGUCCCACACCCUGAGAACCUGCUUAAAAUGGGAUUUCCAGGCUGUGACGUCAGAGGAAAGCCAGCAGCAGCUCCAGCCUGUGCCAGCUCUUCCUUGAUCAGCAGGGCUGAGCCGAUCCUUGCUCAGCCUGGAGGAAAGAGCGUUAGCAGAGAAGGGAGGGUUUCUGAGGGCUCUGAAUCAUGGUCCCCAUAUCAGUGCCAUCCAUGAUAGUAGGGAGAGACAGUAAUAGGGAGAGGCAGGCUAAAGCCACAGCUGGCUUCCUCACGGCCUUAAAUUUCAGCCAGUUCGUGGUCAUUUCCCUCCCCAGUUUGUCUAGUUUUUCCCUCUCUGUGCUGAGUCAGGCCUUCCUGGUGGAGGAGGGUACCUCAAGUAUUAAAGCCAUUUGGGUUCUGCCUGAGAACUUGUCCCAUAUCUAGGCUGGAGGCCGGGAGGGAUCGGAGGGAUACCUGCAAGGAUGGAGAAGCCCACUAGGUGGCGCAGCUCACUCUCAGUGUGGGAUUCCCCACCCCUGCAGGGGAGACUCUUCAUGCAGUCUGCCUAAGGUCUGGUGAGCAGGGCGCCUCAUGCCCCACUCCGUGGAGUUGGAGAUUCAUGAAGAAAACAUCCUUACAGCCAGAUGAGUGAUCAAUAAAUAAUGCUGCUUGAAAUAUUGAUGGCGAAUUUUACACAAGCAUCCCUCAGCUGUGCCUGUCAUUGGGGAACUCGAGAGCUGACAGAGAACUGCAUGGCCCCCCCAGAGAGCCCUCUCCUCUCUCUGCCAACAGAGGGUCUAUCUUUGCCAAGAUUUCAACCUGUUCCCAUCUCAGCCAGAAUCAUGAGUCACUCCCAUCAAGUAAGGAGAGGGAAGGUACCCCAGAGACUCAGCCAGCAACUUCCAACCUGGCAAGCAUCAGGUUGACUGUUUAGAGCAUGAGCAGCAAGGACUCACAGGCUCCCAGACUUCUCUGGCCCACAUCACUGUCAUCUGGUUUUGUUGUCCCUGGAAGAAGGGGAGAAGAGAAGAGGAGCAGGUGGAAACUCUUGAGCCUUCUUGAGCCCAACUCACCCGGUGCCAGCGCCCUCUGUGGCAGAAGCCAGGCACACUCAGAUCUCUGUGUGCACAGUGCCUUCUGCCCAGGCACUCUUGUUCAGCUCCACUUGGUCAUCUCCUGCCUGCAAGUCUCAGCUUGGAUGUGAUGUCCCCACUUCAUCCCAUGGGGUUCCUGUGGCAUCCUGCUCCUCUUCCCAACACUUCCCCCUGGUGGUCAUUGCCUAUUUCCCCACCAGACUGAAAGCCAGAGUAUAGAUGAUGUCUACCUGGCUCACGGUUUCCCCAGCAUCUAGCACACAAUAAGCCCCCGGCACAUUUUUGUGGAAUGUUCGAAUGCUAUCCCUCUAGCAUUCUUCCACUCCUGAGAAAACACCAACCUUCAAACCUCGGUGUCUCUCUGCUGAGGAUGUCUGCCUGCACCUGAGGAUAGGUGUCCAAACUAAACAGCAGCAGCCCAGAUCAGCGUCCCUUGCUCUGACUCCCCCUGCUUGUGCUCAUGCUCACUUGCUCUCCUUUCUCUCUCUCACACACACAGAUGGGAGUCAGCUUUCCAGCCACAUUCAGUUCUCACUUUAAUUCAAAAGCUAAAUUGGGAAGAAGAACAGCUUCACACUCCCAAUUUAGCCUGGGAGAGAAAAAGGGAGACAGCCUGGAUUUGCCAAAGAAAGGAGAAAAGCUGGGUGGGGGGUGGGGGAUUGGGGGCAAACAUACCCAGAGCCCAAGGGAAGACAAUGAAACCCUCACCACCCAGCUCCUAAAAAUAAACCAUCCUGUGGUUUAUCCUGUCACCCCAGAGUGACCCCUGUUAAGCCUCUUUCCCAUACAAGUGCAGCCAUUCGGAGCAUUACCCCAGUCCAGGGAUGGGAUGAGGGGAGCUGGAGAAAAUUGUGGUUAUUAAAACUAUGAAAAGAGGGAGAUGCUGCUGCUUUGGUCACUGGUAGUACAAAAUCAGGAAGUCCUUCUUAAAUCUAACUUUAAUCCCUCUUGCGAUAGCUGAUGGAUGAUGAAUAAAAAGAGAGUCUGGGGGCGCCUGGGUGGCUCAUUUGGUUAAGCGUCUGCCUUUGGCUCAGGUCAU